UCUGAGUCCUCUCUUGCAGCUUAUUUUCCCUGGGAGUCUUCAGCCCAAGGCUCAGAAAAACAGGAUCUUAGGAGCAUUUUUGCUACACAAAAUACAUCCAUAUUUCUUCUUUUAGACAUUGACACAGGCAUGGGAUACAAGCAGUUCUGGAAGCUGUCACAUAAGCAGAACCACCCAGGACAGUAGGCCUUCUUGAAGAGGAGACAUCUCUCAGCCAUGCUUUGUUGUCUCCCACAUUUCAGAAGAAGAGCAGCAGCAGGGAGAGGGAGGGAAUUGUCUCCUAUUCCGUCCUUGUGGAGCCCCAUCUGCAGUACUACAUCCAGGCCUAGGACCCCCAGAAUAAGAAGGAUAUAGAGCUGCUACAGUGGGUCCAGAGGAAGCCACAAAGAUGAUUAGAGGGCUGGAGCACCUCUCCAGCUCUGAAGAAAGGCUGAGGGACCUGGCCUUGUUCAGUCCGGAAAAGAGAAGGCUGUGCAGAGACCUCAUUGUGGCCUUCCAGUCCUGAAGGGAACUUAUAAGCAGGUUGGAUCUCUUCUAUGUGCUACUGGAGGUCUGGGUGAGAUGUCAAGAGGAAUUCUGCUAACCCAUAGUAGAAGAAUUUAUGCUAAUGAAUGAUGUUCUGGCUAAAAUUCUAGCCAAGAUGUGGCCUGGGAAACUCAGUUGUAGUCAAACUGAUGGAUACUGGAAUACUACCUAGUGCCCUUACAUUGUGCCAAGGAUGCAGAAGUCUCCUUCACCAUGACACAGACUGUGGACUUUCUCAGCAGGUGGAAAUGGAACUUUCACAUUAAUCUGAAUCUGCCCAGUUGUAGUGUGAUAUUUGCCAUGCCUGAAGCAAGCAUGCAGCCUUAUGCUGAAGACACAAGUCAGACACAGACUCUUUGAAACAAGUCUGACAAUCCAUCAAAGCACUUUCGGAAACUGAAGACAGGGAAUCUCACCCAUUAAUGAAUUUUCACAUGUAAAAACACAUACUCACAAAAGACUUAAAUUUUGCUUUAAUUUCUGGGAAUGGCAGCUCUCAAACACCUUAGCUGCAGGUUUCCUGACAUCUAUAUUGUCCACUUGUGGUGACAGUAUCCUGAAGCUAGUGACAGGAGGUAGGAAAGGCUUAACCACACCCCUGUAAGAAGAGAGAGGCAACAGCAACAGCUCAGCCAUUGGCAGAGUAAUAGUUAAUGAGAAACUACUGCAAACCUUGUACCAAAGCACAUGCCAUAAAAUAACCCGUGACAGUUAAGCGCCUUCCUGCUUUUACACUGCUAGCUUGUUCACCAACUGGGAAAAAACAAACAGAAAGUGGAAGUGUUGCUGCUUUAAAGCAAGUGAUCUGGUGUGUAAGAGAUUACAUCCUCCCAGGGAGGAGUUUUCGGGGAGGAAGGCAGUGUACAGCUCAUAAAUAUCUGGGACAAAGCAUUGCUGUCCCAUCUGCAUUGUGCUCGCUGGUGAGAAGCAGUGUUCCUGUUCAUCCACAGACAGCA